AUACGGAGGUGGCUAGCGUUGUUCGGAAUUACUGGGCGUAAAGCGUACGUAGGCGGACUGAUCAGUUGGGGGUGAAAUCCCAGGGCUUAACCCUGGAACUGCCUUCAAUACUGUCAGUCUUGAGAUUGGAAGAGGUGAGUGGAAUUCCUAGUGUAGAGGUGAAAUUCAUAGUUAUUAGGAGGAACACCAGUGGCGAAGGCGGCUCACUGGUCCAAUACUGACGCUGAGGUACGAAAGCGUGGGGAGCAAACAUGAUUAGAAACCCUAGUAGUCC
rnacentral:rRNA from 1 species